rnacentral:rRNA from 1 species
UACAGAGGUCCCAAGCGUUGUUCGGAUUCACUGGGCGUAAAGGAUGCGUAGGUGGUGAGGUAAGUCGGAUGUGAAAGCUCGGAGCUCAACUCCGAAAUGGCAUUGGAAACUACCUUGCUCGAGGGUUGAAAGAAGGACUGGAAUGCUUGGUGUAGCAGUGAAAUGCGUAGAUAUCAAGCGGAACACCAGUGGCGAAGGCGAGUCCCUGGACAACUCCUGACACUGAGGCACGAAAGCUAAGGGAGCAAACAGG